rnacentral:rRNA from 1 species
CCUACGGGGUGCUGCAGUGGGGAAUAUUGGGCAAUGGACGCAAGUCUGACCCAGCAACGCCGCGUGAAGGAAGAAGGCUUUCGGGUUGUAAACUUCUUUUAUAAGCGAGAAAUAUGAUGGUAACUUAUGAAUAAGGAUCGGCUAACUACGUGCCAGCAGCCGCGGUCAUACGUAGGAUCCGAGCAUUAUCCGGAGUGACUGGGUGUAAAGAGUUGCGUAGGUGGCAUAAUAAGUAGCUAGUGAAAUCUGGUGGCUCAACCAUUCAGACUAUUAGCUAAACUGUUAAGCUCGAGACCGUUAGGGGUAACUGGAAUUUCUAGUGUAGGAGUGAAAUCCGUAGAUAUUAGAAGGAACACCAAUAGCGUAGGCAGGUUACUGGGACGGUUCUGACACUAAGGCACGAAAGCGUAGGGAGCAAACGGGAUUAGAUACCCCAGUAGUC